rnacentral:rRNA from 1 species
GAUGAACGCUGGCGGCGUGCCUAAUACAUGCAAGUCGAGCGAACGGACGAGAAGCUUGCUUCUCUGAGGUUAGCGGCGGACGGGUGAGUAACACGUGGAUAACCUACCUAUAAGACUGGGAUAACUUCGGGAAACCGGAGCUAAUACCGGAUAAUAUUUUGAACCGCAUGGUUCAUAAGUGAAAGACGGUCUUGCUGUCACUUAUAGAUGGAUCCGCGCUGCAUUAGCUAGUUGGUAAGGUAACGGCUUACCAAGGCAACGAUGCAUAGCCGACUUGAGAGGUGGUUCGGCCACACGGGACCUGGGCCACGGCCCAGACUCCUACGGGAGGCAGCAGUAGGGAAUCUUCCGCAAUGGGCGAAAGCCUGACGGAGCAACGCCGCGUGAGUGAUGAAGGUCUUCGGAUCGUAAAACUCUGUUAUUAGGGAAGAACAUAUGUGUAAGUAACUGUGCACAUCUUGACGGUACCUAAUCAGAAAGCCACGGCUAACUACGUG